UUUGACAAUUUGACCUCAAAUCAGG
rnacentral:rRNA from 2 species